rnacentral:lncRNA from 1 species
UGGGAAGUAGACUACUCCAUUUGCAACAGCUGGAGUUGCUGAUAUGUCUUUGCCAGCAAAGAAUGACCAUCUUAAUGCUAAGUUCCUGACAGUUAGCGGGUUGAGAAGUAUUUCUCCAGCAGCAUACCUUCUGUUAGUUAAGUCACCUCCAUGAUUUAUCCACUGAGAAUCAUAUGGCAGAACUUUAUGUUACUAAUUAAACACUUUGUUUCAGGGCCGAAAUUUAUGAGAUAAUGAAUAAAGAUGAUGAUACAAAAAUGAAGCUUGAGAAAAAUGAUGAAACUUACAGCCGCAUCUGCACAAUCCGUGGUUGCAAAAGAACACAUAGCCACGAGAAGAAUGACUCUGAAGCCAUUACUUGGGGGAGUCUGGGUACGUGGCAUGGCAAGGAAGCUAUUGAAUGUUGAAGUGUGACUUUUAUCAAAUUGAAAGGGUCUUUAGUUUCUUUAUUUCCUUUGUUCAAUAAAGACAAGUAUCAUGUAUAAACGUGAACCAUACCAGACAGAAGCAGUCAUUAUAAGCGUUAAAGUGACUGAAUUCCAGCUGCUUAGCUGGUAAACAGUUACACAGUGGUAAAAAAUUGUUGUUGGUUUACUUUUAUGCCUUUUUUAUAAAAAUGAUUCAAAUUUUUUAA